rnacentral:rRNA from 1 species
GAUGAACGCUGGCGGCGUGCCUAAUACAUGCAAGUCGAGCGAAUGGAUUAAAAGCUUGCUCUUAUGAAGUUAGCGGCGGACGGGUGAGUAACACGUGGGUAACCUGCCCAUAAGACUGGGAUAACUCCGGGAAACCGGGGCUAAUACCGGAUAACAUUUUGAACCGCAUGGUUCGAAAUUGAAAGGCGGCUUCGGCUGUCACUUAUGGAUGGACCCGCGUCGCAUUAGCUAGCUGGUGAGGUAACGGCUCACCAAGGCAACGAUGCGUAGCCGACCGGGGAGGGUGAUCGGCCACACUGGGACUGAGACACGGCCCAGACUCCUACGGGAGGCAGCAGUAGGGAAUCUUCCGCAAUGGACGAAAGUCUGACGGAGCAACGCCGCGUGAGUGAUGAAGGCUUUCGGGUCGUAAAACUCUGUUGUUAGGGAAGAACAAGUGCUAGUUGAAUAAGCUGGCACCUUGACGGUACCUAACCAGAAAGCCACGGCUAACUACGUGCCAGCCGCCGCAGUAA